rnacentral:rRNA from 1 species
GACGAACGCUGGCGGCGUGCUUAACACAUGCAAGUCGAACGGAAAGGCUCCAGCUUGCUGGAGUACUCGAGUGGCGAACGGGUGAGUAACACGUGGGUAAUCUGCCCUGCACUCUGGGAUAAGCCUGGGAAACUGGGUCUAAUACUGGAUAUGACCUUUCUCCUUAUGGGGUUUGGUGGAAAGUUUUUCGGUGUAGGAUGAGCCCGCGGCCUAUCAGCUUGUUGGUGGGGUGAUGGCCUACCAAGGCGACGACGGGUAGCCGGCCUGAGGGGGGUAUCGGGCAACAUUGGGAUAGAGUACGGGCCAGGCGCCCGCCGGGGGCAAGAAGGGGGGAAUAUUGAAAAAGGGGGGGAGCCUGAAUGAAGCGCCGCGGGGGGGGGGAGGACGCCCUCCGGUUGAUAACCCUCUUUCAGCGGGAAAAAAGGGAAAGGGAGGGUCCCGGAAAAAAAAACACGGCCAAACUUUGUG